CCGAGUUUACAACUCCCAAACCCAUUGAGAACCUUACCUUUGUUGCUUCGGCGGGACUGCCCCGGUGCCUUGUCGCCCGGACCCAGGCGCCCGCCGGAGACCCCAAACUCUUGUUUUACUAUGAGAAUUUCUGAUUGUCAUACACAAAUAAAUAA
rnacentral:misc_RNA from 2 species